rnacentral:misc_RNA from 1 species
GAUGAAGAACGCAGCGAAAUGCGAUACGUAAUGUGAAUUGCAGAAUUCAGUGAAUCAUCGAAUCUUUGAACGCAUAUUGCGCUCUUUGGUAUUCCGAAGAGCAUGCUUGUUUGAGUAUCAGUAAACACCUCAAAACUCUUGAUUUUUUUGAGUUUUGGACUUGAGCAAUCCCAACACCAGUCUAUUUCAGAUCGGCGGCGGGUUGCUUGAAAUGCAGGUGCAGCUGGACAUUCUCCUGAGCUAAAAGCAUAUUUAUUUAGUCCCGUCAAACGGAUUAUUACUUUUGCUGCAGCUAAUAUAAAGGGAGUUUGACCGUAUUGGCUGACUGAUGCAGGAUUUCACAAAGGUCGGCAACGAUUCUUGUAAAACUCGAUCUCAAAUCAAGUAAGACUACCCGCUGAACUUAAGCAUAUCAAUAAGCGGAGGA